rnacentral:lncRNA from 1 species
AUGAGUGAAUCACACAAGAAAGAAAGAGAUGGAUUUUUGUAUGUUAUCCAUAUAAGGCUCAAAGCUCAACAGGGUUAAUGAUCUACUACUAAAGAUAUACAAUUUAGAGUUUAGUCAUACCUAUCAUACUAAAAACGCACAUCAAAUUUUUCACAUCACACCACAAGACUUUAGUCAAGAGAACUAAGAAAAAUACUCGUAGUUGUAACUCAAAAAAUCAAAGAAAAAAAAUAUGCAGUUUUUUUUUAAGAAAGCAAAC